AAUUCGCCCUUAGAGUUUGAUCCUGGCGUCAGGAUGAACGCUAGCUACAGGCUUAACACAUGCAAGUCGAGGGGCAGCAUGAACUUAGCUUGCUAAGUUUGAUGGCGACCGGCGCACGGGUGAGUAACACGUAUCCAACCUUCCGUUUACUCAGGGAUAGCCUUUCGAAAGAAAGAUUAAUACCUGAUAGUAUGGUGAGAUUGCAUGAUAGCACCAUUAAAGAUUUAUUGGUAAACGAUGGGGAUGCGUUCCAUUAGGUAGUAGGCGGGGUAACGGCCCACCUAGCCGACGAUGGAUAGGGGUUCUGAGAGGAAGGUCCCCCACAUUGGAACUGAGACACGGUCCAAACUCCUACGGGAGGCAGCAGUGAGGAAUAUUGGUCAAUGGGCGAGAGCCUGAACCAGCCAAGUAGCGUGAAGGAUGAAGGUCCUACGGAUUGUAAACUUCUUUUAUACGGGAAUAAAGUAUCCUACGUGUAGGAUUUUGUAUGUACCGUAUGAAUAAGCAUCGGCUAACUCCGUGCCAGCAGCCGCGGUAAUACGGAGGAUGCGAGCGUUAUCCGGAUUUAUUGGGUUUAAAGGGAGCGCAGACGGGAGAUUAAGUCAGUUGUGAAAGUUUGCGGCUCAACCGUAAAAUUGCAGUUGAUACUGGUUUCCUUGAGUGCAGUUGAGGCAGGCGGAAUUCGUGGUGUAGCGGUGAAAUGCUUAGAUAUCACGAAGAACCCCGAUUGCGAAGGCAGCUUGCUAAACUGUAACUGACGUUCAUGCUCGAAAGUGUGGGUAUCAAACAGGAUUAGAUACCCUGGUAGUCCACACGGUAAACGAUGGAUACUCGCUGUUGGCGAUAUACUGUCAGCGGCCAAGCGAAAGCAUUAAGUAUCCCACCUGGGGAGUACGCCGGCAACGGUGAAACUCAAAUGACAUUGACGGAAGGGCGA
rnacentral:rRNA from 1 species